rnacentral:misc_RNA from 1 species
AAGUCGUAACAAGGUUUCCGUAGGUGAACCUGCGGAAGGAUCAUUAAAGGUUCUCGACGCUCUGCGUUGAAAAUUGUGCUGCAGCUGUGCGCCUUCGGGCUGCACGCUGCGGAACGUCUCUCUCCUUGUGCACACAUUCGGUUGGGGCACUUGCCUCUUCCGCCUUUUUACAUUCAAUUCCAGUCUCGUAUGUUCGAAUAUCAUAACAGUAACAACUUUCAACAACGGAUCUCUUGGCUCUC